CCCUCCUAUUCCUAGUUCUACUUCUUGUCACCCAUCUGACUAAAACCUUAUUAAUAGUGGAUGUGACCCUAGAACAGUUCUGAAAGUGUGAUGAAACUAGCCAAUCUGUUAAUCGAAUCAAUUGGAAAGUAACAUUCCUAACUAUAGGGGUAGGUCUCAGUGAACAUAUUUGGAAAUUACCACUAGAGACCACUCUAAUCUCCUGACACUCAGGUCUGCUCCCAUU